UACGUAGGGGGCAAGCGUUGUCCGGAUUCAUUGGGCGUAAAGAGCUCGUAGGCGGCUUGGCAAGUCGGGUGUGAAAACUCCAGGCUCAACCUGGAGACGCCACCCGAUACUGCCAUGGCUUGAGUCCGGUAGGGGACUACGGAAUUCCUGGUGUAGCGGUGAAAUGCGCAGAUAUCAGGAGGAACACCGAUGGCGAAGGCAGGUCUCUGGGCCGAUACUGACGCUGAGGAGCGAAAGCGUGGGGAGCGAACAGG
rnacentral:rRNA from 1 species